rnacentral:misc_RNA from 1 species
GAUGAAGAACGCAGCGAAAUGCGAUAAGUAAUGUGAAUUGCAGAAUUCAGUGAAUCAUCGAAUCUUUGAACGCACAUUGCGCCCCUUGGUAUUCCGAGGGGCAUGCCUGUUCGAGCGUCAUUAUAACCCCUCAAGCUCAGCUUGGUGUUGGGGCCUGCUGCACUGGCAGCCCUUAAAAUCAGUGGCGGCGCCAUCUGGCUCUAAGCGUAGUAACUCUUCUCGCUAUGGAGUCCUGGUGGAUGCUUGCCAUCAACCCCCAAUUUUUCUAUGGUUGACCUCGGAUCAGGUAGGGAUACCCGCUGAACUUAAGCAUAUCAAUAAGCGGAGG